rnacentral:lncRNA from 1 species
CUGGAGGGGGUGUUGGGGCCUUACCCCUUACCUCCUCCCUUCUCCCCGCAUCAAGUCCGUGUUAAUGACUUUCAUUCCUAAUUGGGCUGGAUAUUGAGUUCUCUGGACCUCAGGCUCUUUGAGGAUGGGGCGAAGUCUCUGACACUCCCCUCUGUGUCCCCAGGACCAGGCAUAUAAUCUGCUCCACAGAUGUUUGCUGAAUGGACCACCUUCAAGUUAACUUGCAUCCCUCGGAGGCUUGGCUGCUGGAGCAGAAGCACUUUGGGCCUGUUCUUCCUAAAUCCCAGGGGAGGGAGUGGUUGGCUUGAACCCACAGGCUGAGAUUCUUUCUCCUACUGCAGGGGAAGCUGCUCGUGCAGAACCUGGCACACUGAGCAUUCUCUAGAAUAGACAGUACAGCUGGGUGGUCAGAGACCAAUGUUGGAGGCAGACAGACCUGGGUUCAAAUCCCAGCUCUGCUGGACCAGCUGUUGCCUUGAACAGCUCUCUCCCAGAGUUUGAGCCCCAGUUAUCUCAGCUCAAAAACAGGAAUAAAAACCUACCUCGUGAUGGUGGUAUGAGAAUUAAAUAAGUGAAGUGCCUACUACAGAGCCAGGAGAAGAAGAUACCUUUUCUCUUUUUUAAUGAGUAGUAAAUACUUGUUGAGAGAGUGAAUGCGCAUCUCUAGAACCGUCUGGAAUCUGGCUACUCCUGGAUCUUCUUCAGGUUGCUGCAUGGGAUUUGCAAAGAACUGGGGACCUUCUGCCAUGAGCAGCAAAGAAGGGUGGAGAUUGGGGCAGAAUUUGGAGUCUGGGAGGUGUCUUGGACUUGUGACCAAAGGUUCUCUCUGAACCUCAUCCAUGUCCUGGGAAUAAUAGAACCUGUAUCAUUGGGUUGUUCUAAGGAUUAGCUGAGAUAAUAUGUGUAUAAAAUGCUUAGAACUUGGCAUACUGGUAAGUAUUAUUUUUUGUCAUUGUUUUACUCUGCUUUCUGAAGAUGCUUAGAAAUACUUCAUCCUUCCAAUAUUGUUUUUUAAAUUCUCGUAUAUUUAUUUAGGGUUUUUUUCUUUUUAGUGUUUUUCUUUCCAAUUUUGCUAUUUAAUCCAUCUGGCACUUAUUGUUGUGUAUUUUUCCAGAUAGCCCACUCUUAUCUAUUUCUAAAUUUUGUUUAUUUGUUUUGCCACAUCUCUUUAUUUAAUCAAACUUUGCCGAGAGAGUUGGAACCCUCACCUGCAGCCUCAGUGCCCUCCCUCCCCUGAGGUACCAGCAAUCUAGAAUUUGGUGUUUAUAAUUCCCAGACAUGUUUUAUAAUAAUACUGUAUAUGGAUGAAACCACAACUGUCCCAAGGGAUUCUUGCAACUUACAUUUUGUCCUUUAAAAACUUAUUUUGUCAGAGUUUCAGGCUUACAGAAAAGUUGUAAGACUAGUACAAAGAAUUCCUAUAUCACUUUCACCCCAAUUCCCCAAGUGUUAACAUUCCCAUGUCUGCUUCCCCUCUCCCCCACUCCCCCCCCAACUCUCUACCGAAUUCCUACCAUUUGAGACAAAAUUGCAGGCAUAAUAGAUCUUUACCCAUAAAUAUCUCAGGAUGUAUUUCCUAAAAACAAGGAUAUUUGCUUAUAUAAGUACAGUUCAGUGAUCAAAAUCAGGAAAUUAACUGGGGGGGGGGGGUUACUAUUCACAAGUCUCAAACCUUAUUCCUGUUUCACCACCUGUUUCAAUAAUGUUCUCUAUACAAAACGAAACCCCUGGGUCACAAACUGAAUUCCCCCGUCUGUCUCUUUAGCCUCUUCAGGCUGGAUCACUUCUUCAGUCUCUCCUCUGCUCUCCUCCCCUCCCCUCUCUUCCACCCCUCUCCCCUCUCCCCUUCCCUCCUCCCCUCUUUCUUUUCUUUUCUUCCCUCCCCCCGCCCCCACACCUGUGGCAUACGGAAGUUCCCACGAAAGGGAUCAAGCCAAGCCGUGCCACUGCAGGGACAACGCUGGAUCCUUAACCCAGUCUGCCACAAGAGAACUCUGAGUCUUUUGUCUUUUGUGACUUUGUCUUUUAAUUAAGUACUUAUUUAUUUACUUAUUAGCAUGGACUGAUUGUUGUAUAAAAUAUCCCUCCGUUUGAGCACGUCUCAUGUAUCCUUGAUAUUAGAUUCAGGUCAGGCCGUCUUUGCAGGAAUACCUAGAAGUGUCCGUGGGACCUUCUCAGAGCACAGCAGCAGGAGGCAUUACUGUCGGUAGCAGGUAGUCUGUCCUCUGCCCACUGACUUGAAAUGACAUGUUCACAGUUGUCUAAAUUCUCCCUUAUACAUAACUCUGCCUCUGAACUUCUUUUAAAUUGAUCAGUUCACCUAAUUCUCUGCCAUCACCCCCCCCCACCCCACCCAGUUAUUUUAAGUACUGUACCUUCCAACUAUACUAGGUUUGCUUCCUGGUCUUUUAUAUCUUUUACUCGUGGAAAUGGGAUUCUUCUUUCCAUUAUGUUUUCAUCUUUUUUUGUUUUUAUCCCAUUAUAUUUUCUAAUUGAUUGUUGUUGGUGUGUAAGAAAGCCAGCCACUGACUUGUGAAUAUUUAUCCUGUGUUUGGUGACCCUGCUGAAUUCUCUUUUGUUCUAAUAGCUUUUCAGUGAUUCUCUCGGGGUUUUUUUUGGGGGGGAAUGUAGACAGCCAUUUCUGCAAAUACUGGCAGGUUUGUCUCUUCCUUUUCUAUAUAUUUACGCUUUUAUUUUCUUUUUUCCAGCCUUUUUACAUUGGCUAGGAUUUCCAGAAUAAUUUUAAAUAAUAUGAUAGUGACACUGGGCAUUCCUGGUUAUUCCUGACUUUAAUUGGAGUAGCUCUGGCAUUAUAUUAGUAAGUGUUUGAGGGAGGUUUUGGAGUGAUAUCCUUCAUGUGGAGGUUUUUAAAAAAUUCCUAGUGAAUUAUGUUGAUUUAAAAAAAAAUUUUCAAAAUCCAGAUCUAAGUUGGUACUUAUUUUUAGGGUUGCGUUUUGUAAUUUAGUGCCACGUCUUAUUUGCUAACAUUUAUGUAGGAAUUUUGGGUCUGGAUUUCCAUAAGAUUUCUCUGUAAUUUUCUCUUUUAAAUGAUCUUUGCCCAGGUUUAAUAGCGUACGUUGGCUUUGCAGCAAGAAUUGCAGUGCUGCCUUCCCCCCCCCCCCCGCCAAAAAAAAAAAUUCAGAGAAUAUAAUCUGUUUAUUGAGGAUUUGGUAGAAUUUGCCAGUAAAAUUAUUUGAACAUUGCCAGUAGUUUUAUAAUUGAAAUUUCUUCCUCUGAUUCUUGGUCUCUUUUUCUAUUUCCUCUUGAGUCAGCUUUGGGUCAUUUUUAUUAUUUAGAAACAUCUAUUUUGUAUGUGUUUUAAAUACAUAUAGUAAUAAAAAGUCUUCCUUCCUUUUAACCUUUUUUAUUCCUCUUACUGAUUCUGUACUUACAGUCACCUUCUCAUUUCUUAAUAUUGUGUGUGUGUGUGUGUGUGUGUGUGUGUGCGUGUGUGUGUGUGUGUAUGUGUGUGUGAGAGAGAGGAAAGAGAGAGAGAGAGGGAGAGAGAGAGACCCUGUUGCAUAUGGAGCUCCUGGGCCAGGGAUCAGAUCCAAGCUGCAGUUGCAACCUACACCACAGCUGUAGCACCUCUGGACCCUUUAACCCACUGUGCCUGGCUGGGAAUCACACCUGCGUCCUGGUGCUGCAGAGACACUGCCAAUCCUAUUGAGCCACAGCGGGAACUCCUCAUGUUUUAAUAUUUUAAAUUUAUUUUUUAUAUUCUUGGCCAGACACAUGGUGGGGACGGAUGGGGUUAGCUAUUUUAUUGCCAGUUUCAGAGGACUUGCCCUUGCUUUUCUUGUCAAGUCUUUUGUUUUCUAUUUCUUUAACUGCUGAUUUUUUAAAAUUCAUUUUCAACUUUCUUUUGGUCUCUUUCAGGUUUUUUCAUCACUUCUUUUUGAGGACUGUUUGGAAGUAUCCCGUGGGUUUUGCUAUAUAGUACUCUCAUUGUUCAUUUUUAAACAGUCUGCAGUUUGUUUUAAUUUCUUUUUUAAAAAUACUCCUCUAAAUAACCUUUGGGUUACAUUUCCAAGUAGUUAAAUUUUUUGUGGCUCUCUUUUUGUUUAAUUUUUAGUUUUAUUGCUUCAUGGUCAGAGAAUAUGGCCUGUGUAAUUUCUAACUUAAAAAAAAAAAAUUGUUGAGGUUUUCUUUGUGGCCCGUCACAUGAUCAGUGUGUAAUUGUUCUAUGGAUUUUUGAAAAGAUGUGCAUUGUUUUAUAAAUACAUAUAAAAGUAUAUUGAACUGACUAAUUGUUUUUCAAGUCCUUUCGUGCUCCUCCCUUUUGAAUCCUCAUGAUCUGUCCAUUUCUGGGAAGUAUGCUACAGUCUCCUAGUAUAACUGAUUGGUUUUUUACAUUUCUCUUUGUAUCUUCAACAGUCUUUGCUCUGUAUAUGUAAUGGAUAUGUACUGUUCUUUUAGUGGUUAAAAAAAUCUUUUUGUCCUUUGUAAUUCUUUUUUUCCCCCCCUCAUGGAGUCUGUUACCAUUUCUGCUUUUUAUUGACAUAUGCCUGGUGUCAUUUUGUUAACUCCUUAUUUUUUUUAAAAAAAAAAAAAACCUUUUUUUAAAAAAAAAUGAGUGACAGCUUCAUGCGAAGUGGCAGAUAGUUCUCAUGUGCCCUUCCCCCAGCUUUCCUCAAUGAUAGCCUCUCAUGUCAUCAUAAUCCCUUCUAUUUUAACCUUUCGGGGUCAUUUUGGUUCAGCAUCCAGCCUGCCCUGCGUCCUCCCCUCCCCCAUCUGUGAUACGCUGUUUUUUAAUAGGGGAAUUUAUGGACCAUGCAUAUUUAUCAUGUUUGCUUAAGUUUCAGUUUCCUUCUGCCACCUUGUUUUGCUUUUGGUUUUCCAUGAUGUUGUUUUUCCCUCAUACUGUUGGAUUGCCAAAGUUUUCUUUAGUCUCCAAUUGUCCUUAUUUCCAUUUUUUUAUUCUUUCCCUUUCUACUCCUGCUGCUUGAAAACCCGCCACCCCGAUCCUUUCUACCGAUUCGGAAGUCCUGGUCUUAUUUCUCAUUUCUUACGCUUAAGUUUUUAACAAACAUAUUUAAACUUGAGCAAGAAUGAAUUAGUAUGUCUAAUUACCCUCAAAGAGUCCCCACCCACACACAAAUAUUUGACCUUGAAAUGUUCUUAUGCUCUCCUUAUCCUCUCCCUAUCAUCUGUUCUUGGUUCAUAUGAUAUGGAAUUUUAUUUCCAGCUUUAAAAAAGUUCUGCAUCGUGUCUUUGGGAAUUACACACGAGCUGCCUGGAGCUUCACAGCUACAUUUUCAGUCGCUCUUUAGACUUAGCUCUACUGUGUUGAAUUUCUUUCUCUUCCUUUUAAAAUUCUAUCUGAUGUCUUCUUCUUGGAUUCAUUUUCCUUCGUGAUUUUCCGAAAAGGUGCUGGGGUGGCCCCAGAAUCUUUGUGUGUCUGAAGAGGUCAUUCUCUUUCCUCUCACUCGAGCAAUGGGUUGGUUUGCCGUUGAGUUCUAGGUUUGAAGUCCUUUAUCGCAGAACUUUAUAGGCCUGAUACUCUUGUUGUCUGCCCUGGAUCUUGCAAAUGAGAAGUCUUAUGCUAGCCUGAGUCUUGUUUCUCUAUAGGUUUUGGUUUGUUUUUGUUUUUGUUUUUGUUUUUUAACCCCUCUGUGGAAGCAUUUAAGGAUUCCUCUUUAUUUUGAGAGUUGGGAAAUUUCAUCAGGGCGUGUCUCAGUAUCUUGUUUCAUUCUCCUUCUCAGCACUUGGCGCUUUCGAUUGGAAAACUCCAGCGUUUAUUUGUCUUUUGUCCUUCACUCUGGGAAGAAGAGUGCACGUUGGAUCUCCAGGGUGGAGAGAUAGUGAGGCCCUGGCCAUCAGAUGGCUUGGGAUGUCAGCGCAGCUGGACAGCUGGUCGACCCUCUACCGUUUCUCACCUGGAGAAGGCAGAUGAGAACAGCUCCUGUCACACAGAGUUGUUGGGAGAUGACAUCAGACCCAGCUAGAGAAACAUUUGGGAGUGUCUGUUAUGGAAUAAGUGGUCGAGAGUGGGAGAUGCUCUUUGUAUAAUUUCCUGGAGACAUCAGAGGUGGGGGAAGGAUUGGGCUGUUGAGCUGGACUUUGAAGAAUGUAUAAGACAGGACCUUCUCUGAGCCUCUGUCUCUCUUGUUAAAAUGAUGGAUGGAGUUCCCAUCAGGGCUCAUCAGAAACAAAUCUGACCAGCAUCCAUGAGAACUUGGGUUUGAUCCCUGACCUCAUUCAGUGGGUUAAGAAUCCGGCGUUGCCAUGACCUGUGGUGUAGAUCGCAGAUGCGGCUCGGAUCCCGAGUUGCUGUGGUUGUGGUUUAGGCUGAUGGCUACAGCUCUGAUUCGACCCCUAGCCUGGGAACCUUCAUAUGCCGCGGGUGUGGCCC